rnacentral:rRNA from 1 species
CCGCACGGGUGAGUAACACGUAUCCAACCUGCCGUCUACUCUUGGCCAGCCUUCUGAAAGGAAGAUUAAUCCAGGAUGGGAUCAUGAGUUCACAUGUCCGCAUGAUUAAAGGUAUUUUCCGGUAGACGAUGGGGAUGCGUUCCAUUAGGCAGUUGGUGAGGUAACGGCUCACCAAACCUUCGAUGGAUAGGGGUUCUGAGAGGAAGGUCCCCCACAUUGGAACUGAGACACGGUCCAA